rnacentral:rRNA from 1 species
GAUAAACGCUGGCGGCGUGCAUAACACAUGCAAGUCGAACGAUGAAGAUUGAUAGAUUUCUUCGGAAUGACAUUAAUUGGAUUAGUGGCGGACGGGUGAGUAACGCGUGAGUAACCUGCCUUGCACAAGGGGAUAGCCGUUGGAAACGACGAAUAAUACCCUAUGAUAUAAACUCUUCGCAUGAAGAGCUUAUCAAAGAUUUAUCGGUGUAAGAUGGACUCGCGUCUGAUUAGCUAGUUGGUGAGAUAACAGCUCACCAAGGCAACGAUCAGUAGCCGGCUUGAGAGAGUGUACGGCCACAUUGGGACUGAGACACGGCCCAGACUCCUACGGGAGCAGCAGUGGGAAUUUGC